AGCAGGCGGAGCAACAUGCUGCAAACACACAGCUCAGUCAAGGGAAGAAGGGACCCUGGUCACAUAUUGAUGUCCUACGGAACGGAGAGGCCAGCCCAUCUGAACUCAACUGACUGACUGACAGUUGACAGUUCGGCGAGGGACGUUCAGGGAACUUGGACUGGGAUGUGGGACAUGGGUUGCUAUGGGACUGGGACUGGGACUGCGAAUGGUGGUACUCCGACUCUAGAUUCGAGCCAAGCUGUCUGGCAAGGCAACGUUGUUGCCGCUGUUGCCAUAAAGAUAAACGACCAGCAUUUGACAAUUAAAGCAAAACAAAGUGUGGCACCUUAUCGCCACAGAGGUGCCAAUGAAAUGGGAGGGACGACUCGCCAAUUGGUUGAGGAGGGACUGGAAGUGAGGGAGUUCCGGCUAAGGAUUAUCAGCAAUUUCCACGCGACAUAUGUUGGUGGUCACUUUGCCGGAAAUUUGCUACACGUGCUUUAUAAAGUU
ensembl:ncRNA lncRNA:CR45980 long non-coding RNA:CR45980